rnacentral:lncRNA from 1 species
GCCGCCGGCCAGACAGCGUCCUGCUUCUCGUGGAAUGGAUGGUCGGGCAACGCCGCCGGCCAGACAGCGCCCUGCUUCGUCUUGUGGAAUGAGUGGUCCGGCAAUGCCGCCACAGGCCCGCCAGUGUCCUGCUUCUUGUGGAAUGGAUGGUCAGGCAACGCCGCAGGCCAGACAACGUCCUGCUUCUUGUGGAAUGGAUGGUCGGGCAACGCCGCCGGCCAGACAGCGCCCUGCUUCUUGUGGAAUGGGUGGUCCGGCAAUGCCGCCGCAGGCCCGCCAGUGUCCUGCUUCUUGUGGAAUGGGUGGUCAGGCAACGCCGCCGGCCAGACAACGUCCUGCUUCUCGUGGAAUGGAUGGUCGGGCAACGCCGCCGGCCAGACAGCGUCCUGCUUCUUGUGGAAUGGGUGGUCCGGCAAUUCCGCCGCAGGCCCGCCAGUGUCCUGCUUCUUGUGGAAUGGGUGGUCAGGCAACGCCGCCGGCCAGACAGCGUCCUGCUUCUUGUGGAAUGGGUGGUCCGGCAACGCCGCCGGCCAGACAAUGCCAACGCCGCCGCCUGCGCGG